rnacentral:lncRNA from 7 species
AUUGGCGCCCGCCGCUGCCGCCGGGACAGCCGGGAAAGGAAGGGGAGCGCGGCCGGAGGAGGAGCGGGUGGUGGCGGCGACGGCAGCAGCUCGGCGUGAUGGCGCGGCCCUUCUCGCCCAUCCCUGGGCCGGGCGGGAGUGAGACACAUCGGCUGAGGUCACCGACGUGAAUAUACUUUAUUCCCCUACACUUUGGAUAGGCCAACUGAACAUUCUGGUUUGCACCCACAUUAGGUAACACUGUCAUCUUUCUUCUCUGAGGUUUUGUUGGAGGUCUGAGGAACACGAGAGGACAAGAAACACCUGUGUGGAGGCUCAGCUGUCCAAGCAGCAUGGAAAAGGUGUUAAGAACUCGGGGGGGGGGUUAUAUUUUGCAAACAAAAGGAGGCUCAUUUCCUCUAUUUGCUCAUCAGAGCUUUAGGUGCAAAAACACGCCUGGAGCUCGUGAAAUACCUUCACUUAUGUCUGAAUCUACCAAAAUUCUUUAUAGAGCCAUCUGAAAAGUAUUUGAUUUUUCCUUUAUGAAAUACUACAGAGCUUUUCUGAACUGUUUCAUCAAGCAAACCCUUAAUAAAAAACACACAGACCGACAGGAAUUGCGGGCUGU